GAUUGCAUGACCUGCACAGGCGAAAACCCUCUCCGAUGGUGUUGAUGAGGCCGUAAAGCGCCUAGAGACAAUUGUAUUGUUAUGGCGCUAUAUAAAUAAAAUUGAAUUGAAUUGAAUUGAAUUGAAUAUAUGUAUCUGAAAGUUCAAGUUUCAAUGACUUUCAGUUACGUUAAAUGACCGGACUACUUGCGUUGCGGAAUGAUAUGAAAGAUGUGAAUUAGAAGCACAAAACCCGUUGCCAAUGACUGCAGUCAUACAUAUUUCGCAGCAGUGAAUUUACAGACCUGCCAACGUUGGGAUGGCCCAUUCAAAUCAACUGAACUUUUUGGAACAUUCUGAAGAGUAUAAUAAGAGUAUAAUAAGUACAGACACUCCUCCCAAACAUGAGAGCGAAGUGGAGGAAGAAGCGCAUGCGUAG
rnacentral:lncRNA from 1 species